UCUUUUUACAAUUGACAUGAAAAUCUAUUUUGCUGUGAUCGCUAUGCUAAUUUGUUGCAAUUUAACAGUGGGCAAAAAGGAAUGCGAAUAUGCGUGCAUAUUAUUAGAUUCUCCUGUUUGUGGAACAGGGGCUUUGAAGGAUGAAAUAUUGUUUUGUGAAUUCGAGAAUGAGUGUGAAAUGAAACGCAUAGCCUGCAAGAACGAUAUAAAUUUACGCCCCAUUCCUUGCAGAGGUAUUGGAGUGUCGAACAAUUGUGGAUACAUUAAGCGUAUGGCAAAUUUAAAAUAACAAUAAAGGCGAAGCAAUUGAAUUUUA